GCUCAGUUAGUUCAGUUGGUAGAACGCUAGAUAUUUUAUUUUUUUAUCAUAGAAACGUGGGUUCGAUUCCUGCACUGGGCC
rnacentral:tRNA from 1 species